rnacentral:rRNA from 1 species
UGAGGGAAUAUUGGGUCAAUGGGCGGAAGCCUGAACCAGCCAAGUAGCGUGAGGGAAGACUGCCCUAUGGGUUGUAAACCUCUUUUAUAAGGGAAUAAAAUACGGGACGUGUCCUGUUUUGCAUGUACCUUAUGAAUAAGGACCGGCUAAUUCCGUGCCAGCAGCCGCGGUAAUACGGAAGGUCCGGGCGUUAUCCGGAUUUAUUGGGUUUAAAGGGAGCGCAGGCGGUCUUAUAAGCGUGACGUGAAAUGCAGCGGCUCAACCGUAUGAUGUGCGUCGUGAACUGUGAGACUUGAGUGUAUUCGAUGUCAGCGGAAUUUGUGGUGUAGCGGUGAAAUGCUUA